UGAAGCGGCAAAAGCUCAAAUUUGAAAUCUGGCCCUUUCAGGGUCCGAGUUGUAAUUUGUAGAAGCUGUUUCGGGUGUGGCCCCGGUCUAAGUUCCUUGGAACAGGACGUCAUAGAGGGUGAGAAUCCCGUAUGUGACUGGGUGCCUACGCCUAUGUGAAACGCUUUCGACGAGUCGAGUUGUUUGGGAAUGCAGCUCAAAAUGGGUGGUAAAUUUCAUCUAAAGCUAAAUAUUGGCCAGAGACCGAUAGCGCACAAGUAGAGUGAUCGAAAGAUGAAAAGCACUUUGGAAAGAGAGUUAAACAGUACGUGAAAUUGUUGAAAGGGAAGCGCUUGCAAUCAGACUUGCGCCCGGGCGAUCAUCCGGAGUUCUCUCCGGUGCACUCGUUCGGGCUCAGGCCAGCAUCGGUUUCCGCGGUGGGAUAAAGGCCCUGGGAAUGUGGCCCCUCUCGGGGGGUGUUAUAGCCCAGGGUGCCAUGCCGCCUGCGGGGACCGAGGACCGCGCUUCGGCUAGGAUGCUGGCGUAAUGGUUGUAAGCGGCCCGUCUUGAAACACGGACCAAGGAGUCUAACAUCUAUGCGAGUGUUUGGGUGUCAAACCCAUACGCGUAAUGAAAGUGAACGGAGGUGAGAACCCUUAAGGGUGCAUCAUCGACCGAUCCUGAUGUCUUCGGAUGGAUUUGAGUAAGAGCAUAGCUGUUGGGACCCGAAAGAUGGUGAACUAUGCGUGAAUAGGGUGAAGCCAGAGGAAACUCUGGUGGAGGCUCGCAGCGGUUCUGACGUGCAAAUCGAUCGUCAAAUUUGCGUAUAGGGGCGAAAGACUAAUCGAACCAUUAGACCUUGCUAGGUGGUUAAGAGGUGGCGGAAAGCGCCACCUAGUCCUUGGGUACAGGGCUACACUAUCAAAUUGUUCGGGGACGUCCUGUCAUAGGUCACACUAUGGUCGCUAAGCUCCCGCAGCCGAGACGAAAGUCCGGUGCGCACCAGGUUAACAGCCUCGGGGAUGGGAAUAUUGCUUAGGGGGGGAUAACCUGCAGCCAAGCCCUAAGGGCGGCCUCUCCAGGCCGCCUACGGGUGCAGUUCACAGACUAGAUGGUAGUGGGUUCGGGGCGGCACGCCGCGCCCGGGCUUAAGUUAUAGUCGGUCCCCCGAGCAAUCGGGCGGCGGGACGAAGGUGGGAUGGGUACCCCCGAGAGGGCCAUCCGCACCCCGAGCCCGCCGGGGAGUCCGCCCACGCGGACUCCUGGGGU
rnacentral:rRNA from 1 species